UGUUGGUGGUGAGUGGCGAACGGGUGAGUAACACGUGAGUAACCUGCCCCUGAUUUCGGGAUAAGCCUGGGAAACCGGGUCUAAUACCGGAUACGACCACCUGACGCAUGUUGGGUGGUGGAAAGUUUUUCGAUCGGGGAUGGGCUCGCGGCCUAUCAGCUUGUUGGUGGGGUAAUGGCCUACCAAGGCGACGACGGGUAGCCGGCCUGAGAGGGCGACCGGCCACACUGGGACUGAGACACGGCCCAGACUCCUACGGGAGGCAGCAGUGGGGAAUAUUGCACAAUGGGGGAAACCCUGAUGCAGCGACGCAGCGUGCGGGAUGACGGCCUUCGGGUUGUAAACCGCUUUCAGCAGGGAAGAAGCGAAAGUGACGGUACCUGCAGAAGAAGUACCGGCUAACUACGUGCCAGCAGCCGCGGUAAUACGUAGGGUACGAGCGUUGUCCGGAAUUAUUGGGCGUAAAGAGCUCGUAGGUGGUUGGUCACGUCUGCUGUGGAAACGCAACGCUUAACGUUGCGCGUGCAGUGGGUACGGGCUGACUAGAGUGCAGUAGGGGAGUCUGGAAUUCCUGGUGUAGCGGUGAAAUGCGCAGAUAUCAGGAGGAACACCGGUGGCGAAGGCGGGACUCUGGGCUGUAACUGACACUGAGGAGCGAAAGCAUGGGGAGCGAACAGGAUUAGAUACCCUGGUAGUCCAUGCCGUAACGUUGGGCACUAGGUGUGGGGGACAUUCCACGUUCUCCGCGCCGUAGCUAACGCAUUAAGUGCCCCGCCUGGGGGAGUACGGUCGCAAGGCUAAAACUCAAAGGAAUUGACGGGGCCCGCACAGCGCGAGCAUGCGAUAUCGA
rnacentral:rRNA from 1 species